rnacentral:rRNA from 1 species
AUUGAACGCUGGCGGCAGGCCUAACACAUGCAAGUCGAACGGUAACAGGAAACAGCUUGCUGUUUCGCUGACGAGUGGCGGGCGGGUGAGUAAUGUCUGGGAAACUGCCUGAUGGAGGGGGAUAACUACUGGAAACGGUAGCUAAUACCGCAUAACGUCGCAAGACCAAAGAGGGGGACCUUCGGGCCUCUUGCCAUCGGAUGUGCCCAGAUGGGAUUAGCUUGUUGGUGGGGUAACGGCUCACCAAGGCGACGAUCCCUAGCUGGUCUGAGAGGAUGACCAGCCACACUGGAACUGAGACACGGUCCAGACUCCUACGGGAGGCUGCAGUGGGGAAUAUUGCACAAUGGGCGCAAGCCUGAUGCAGCCAUGCCGCGUGUAUGAAGAAGGCCUUCGGGUUGUAAAGUACUUUCAGCGGGGAGGAAGGGAGUAAAGUUAAUACCUUUACUCAUUGACGUUACCCGCAGAAGAAGCACCGGCUAACUCCGUGCCAGCAGCCGCCGUAA